rnacentral:rRNA from 1 species
UACGUAGGGUGCGAGCGUUAAUCGGAAUUACUGGGCGUAAAGCGUGCGCAGGCGGCUUUGCAAGACAGAUGUGAAAUCCCCGGGCUCAACCUGGGAACUGCAUUUGUGACUGUAUAGCUAGAGUACGGCAGAGGGGGAUGGAAUUCCGCGUGUAGCAGUGAAAUGCGUAGAUAUGCGGAGGAACACCGAUGGCGAAGGCAAUCCCCUGGGCCUGCACUGACGCUCAUGCACGAAAGCGUGGGGAGCAAACAGG